rnacentral:lncRNA from 1 species
AUGUGAGCCGGCUUAUAAUUUUGACAAAUAUUUGUUAUCGGUAGGUAACACGUAUACCAUUGGAAUUACUCGUACUUAUUGUUAACAACACAACUCCUUAGGUACUUGUUCCAUAUGUACGGUACUUUCAGUUUCUAAAUGCAGUGAUUGUGUUCCAGUUUAUUCUACACUUUGGUUUUGAUUUGUUGAUGCAAUACCCAAACCAGCCUCUGGACUAGAUCGAAUAAGCAUCCAGCUUUUAAAAAUAUGGGCGAUCAGAAGAAAUGAAGCAUUUUGGCUCGCAAUUUUUUCGUCCAGCAUGGAUUUACUUGAAAUUUUUACAGAAGAUACAUACAUACCUAUCUUGAAAGAUUAGCAAUGAACUACAAUACUGUCAGAACUACAUACUGUCAGUGUGCGCAGGCGCGCGGAUCAUGUACAAUUUUACCCUCAAUCGAUUCGCCGCUAAAGAAGAAUAUCUUCAAAAAAAAAACGAUUUUAAUGAAAAACGCUUAAAUUCUCUUGUUUUUUACAAUGUAAAAACUUGAAACUUUUUUAAGGAUUGUAUAGCUAAUGAUAUGAACAAUACAUAAUUUUACUUUUUACGUUAAUUGUUUACGUUAUGCUUCAUAAAUAAACAAUAAAGUUUCAAAGUUUUGGCCGAUUCCGACUACUUUUCAUGUUAGUACAUCAUACGUUUUAUACAUAUUUUAAUAAAUAUGACGAUAUAUUUUAAUGUUUGAAAAGUGUAAGACUAAAAAGUAAAAAAUAAAAAAAUAUGAAAAAAAAAUUUAAGAAAUGCUUUUCUUUAGUUACGAGUGACUAAAAUUAAAAAUAUUAUAAAAAAUCAACUAAAAAGCAAAAAAUAAAAAAAUGAAAAAAUCUAACACAUUCGUUAAAGAAAAGCUUGGUGCGAAAACCGUUUAUGCGAUGAACACGCGCCACGCUUUUCUUUGACGGAUGUUAUAAUUUUUUCAAUUUUUUUUUAUUUUUUGCUUUUUCGUUGAUUUUUUUAUAAUAUUUUUAAUUUUAGUCACUCGUAACUAAAGAAAAGCGUUUCUUAAAAUUUUUUUUUUUCAUAUUUUUUUAUUUUUUAAUUUAAUGUCGUCCGAACCACUGGGGUUAUAAACGACAACGAUGGAAAAUACAUAUUAAAAACAAGCUGAAAAUGCGAGCAUUGUCAUAACGAAAACUUUGUAUAUUUAUUUCUAUUAUGAAAAGUAGUUUAGAAUUAUUAAUCAUUAUGUUUUAAUGUGCAAUUAUAUCAUUCUAAUUUAAAUGUUAUGAACUAUAAAGGUAGUUUACUCUUGAUCGAAAUUCAUAUUUUUUAUAUACCUCGUAUAAAAUUAAUAAAAUUUUAUACAAGGUGUCCCAAAAGUAGUGGAACGGUCGAAUAUUUCGCGAACUGAACAUCGGAUCGAAAAACUGAAAAAUACGUGUUCAAUCAUUUUCAAAAAUCUAUCCAAUUACUCCAAACACCAACCUCCACUACACCCCCUGGAGGUGGGGUGGGGGGUAACUUUAAAAUCUCAAAUAGAAACUCCUAGAUUUUCUUGCAGAUUUGGAUUCGUUGCGUAAAAGUAAGCAACUUUUAUUUAAGACAUUUUUUCGAACUGUGGAUAGAUGGCGCUAUAAUUGGGAAAAACGAUUUAUUCUGAUACCAUGGGUAAAUUAUAGAAACGGUCUAAUAUCUCGAGAAAUACACUUCCAAAUGAGAAACAAAACAAAUUUUUUUAAUACUUUUCGAAAACCUAUCGAUUAACACUAAACAUGACCCUCCAACCCAUCCCCCUGGAGGUGGGGUGGGGGGUAACUUUAAAAUAUUAAAUAGCAACCCCCACUUUUUAUUACAGAUUCGGAUUUGUCAUGAAAAAC